CAGCAUUCUGUAGCAAUACAGGGUGUGGGCGCGUGGCGAACGGGUGCGUAACACGUGGAUAACCUUCCUUCAGGUGGGGAAUAACCCCGCGAAAGCGGGGCUAAUACCGCAUAACAUGACGAUGCCACAUGGUGUUGUCUUCAAAGCCGCAAGGCGCCAGAAGAGGGAUCCGCGGCCGAUUAGCUUGUUGGCGAGGUAAUGGCUCACCAAGGCAUUGAUCGGUAGCCGGACUGAGAGGUUGGCCGGCCACACUGGAACUGAGACACGGUCCAGACUCCUACGGGAGGCAGCAGUGGGGAAUCUUGCACAAUGGACGAAAGUCUGAUGCAGCAACGCCGCGUGGGGGAUGAAGCUUUUCGGA
rnacentral:rRNA from 1 species